AGAGAAGGUUAGGUGUGAGCUGUUGCUUGGGGACUGGUUGGGUGACAGCUAGUGGUGUUGAGGUGUUGUGUUGGUAGCAGAGCAUCAGUUGCAGACAGCUUUUAUCUUAGCCCAUGUAUUCUAUUUUGUUCCUAAUUUCCUACUUUAUGCUACAUGGAGUGGAGUGAGCUGAUGGCUGUGUAGUUCUUUGCUGUUUUCCAGGUUAAUCCACAAGAAUCCACAUAGUUGUGGAGGAUUAAGAGAAGAAUACUUAUCCUGUAUCCAGUCAAUACUUUCGCAGUUCUUAAUCAGACUUCUGCAGUACACUCACCCUGAGACCAUAACGACAAGCAAACUACAGAAAAGUGCCAUUAAUUCAUGCAAGGGAGCUGACCUAAGCUGGCCAAAGGGAUAUUCCAUAGCACGUGACAUCAUGUGGAAAAAAAGCCAUAAAACUGAAGGGCGUUGAUUGAGGAAGCCGCCACUGCUCAAGGACUGGCUGGGCAUUGGUCAGAGGAUGCUGAGAUGAAUUAGUGAAAGGCUGCGAGGGUGUUGUCUAGGAUUAAGCCACCACAGGCAUGAAUCCUAAUACAUGAGGAAGAAAUUAAUGAGCAUAAAAGCAGGCACUGCUGUGUAUUGUAUAAGCUGUUUAUAAUAUGUUUCUUUGUUUAAAGAAAAAAAAUUAGUUGUUGGUUACAUUUAGAAUCUUAGUGUUAAUUUAUCACUGAAACAGGAAAUACUGGUUUUCUUUUAAAGUCUGCAUCUUUUGAAAUCUGUGACAUUUCUAUGAACAUCUGCAAAAAAAUUAGGAUAUUGUAGCUGAUUUCUUUCUAGUCAUAGUCACAUUCAGAUCAUAAGAUUGUAUUAAUUUCACCAAGAAGGCAUGCAAAGAAGAAUUUUGCUUUCUCUUAAAACAAAAACCUACCUAA